UCGGAACGUGCCCAGUCGUGGGGGAUAACGUAGCGAAAGCUACGCUAAUACCGCAUACGAUCUAUGGAUGAAAGCGGGGGAUCGCAAGACCUCGCGCGAUUGGAGCGGCCGAUAUCAGAUUAGCUAGUUGGUGGGGUAAAGGCCCACCAAGGCGACGAUCGGUAGCUGGUCUGAGAGGAUGAUCAGCCACACUGGGACUGAGACACGGCCCAG
rnacentral:rRNA from 1 species